GACGAACGCUUGCGGCGUGCUUAACACAUGCAAGUCGAACGGAAAGGCCCUGCUUUUGUGGGGUGCUCGAGUGGCGAACGGGUGAGUAACACGUGAGUAACCUGCCCUUGACUUUGGGAUAACUUCAGGAAACUGGGGCUAAUACCGGAUAGGAGCUCCUGCUGCAUGGUGGGGGUUGGAAAGUUUCGGCGGUUGGGGAUGGACUCGCGGCUUAUCAGCUUGUUGGUGGGGUAGUGGCUUACCAAGGCUUUGACGGGUAGCCGGCCUGAGAGGGUGACCGGCCACAUUGGGACUGAGAUACGGCCCAGACUCCUACGGGAGGCAGCAGUGGGGAAUAUUGCACAAUGGGCGGAAGCCUGAUGCAGCAACGCCGCGUGCGGGAUGACGGCCUUCGGGUUGUAAACCGCUUUCGCCUGUGACGAAGCGUGAGUGACGGUAAUGGGUAAAGAAGCACCGGCUAACUACGUGCCAGCAGCCGCGGUGAUACGUAGGGUGCGAGCGUUGUCCGGAUUUAUUGGGCGUAAAGGGCUCGUAGGUGGUUGAUCGCGUCGGAAGUGUAAUCUUGGGGCUUAACCCUGAGCGUGCUUUCGAUACGGGUUGACUUGAGGAAGGUAGGGGAGAAUGGAAUUCCUGGUGGAGCGGUGGAAUGCGCAGAUAUCAGGAGGAACACCAGUGGCGAAGGCGGUUCUCUGGGCCUUUCCUGACGCUGAGGAGCGAAGGCGUGGGGAGCGAACAGGCUUAGAUACCCUGGUAGUCCACGCUGUAAACGGUGGGUACUAGGUGUGGGGUCCAUUCCACGGGUUCCGUGCCGUAGCUAACGCUUUAAGUACCCCGCCUGGGGAGUACGGCCGCAAGGCUAAAACUCAAAGGAAUUGACGGGGCCCCGCACAAGCGGCGGAGCAUGCGGAUUAAUUCGAUGCAACGCGUAGAACCUUACCUGGGUUUGACAUGGAUCGGGAGUGCUCAGAGAUGGGUGUGCCUCUUUUGGGGUCGGUUCACAGGUGGUGCAUGGCUGUCGUCAGCUCGUGUCGUGAGAUGUUGGGUUAAGUCCCGCAACGAGCGCAACCCUUGUUCACUGUUGCCAGCACGUUAUGGUGGGGACUCAGUGGAGACCGCCGGGGUCAACUCGGAGGAAGGUGGGGAUGACGUCAAAUCAUCAUGCCCCUUAUGUCCAGGGCUUCACGCAUGCUACAAUGGCUGGUACAGAGAGUGGCGAGCCUGUGAGGGUGAGCGAAUCUCGGAAAGCCGGUCUCAGUUCGGAUUGGGGUCUGCAACUCGACCUCAUGAAGUCGGAGUCGCUAGUAAUCGCAGAUCAGCAACGCUGCGGUGAAUACGUUCCCGGGGCU
rnacentral:rRNA from 1 species